rnacentral:rRNA from 1 species
UAUUGGACAAUGGGCGCAAGCCUGAUCCAGCAAUGCCGCGUGGGUGAAGAAGGCCUUCGGGUUGUAAAGCCCUUUUGUACGGGAAGAAAUCAUCCGGGUUAAUACCCUGGGUGGAUGACGGUACCGUAAGAAUAAGCACCGGCUAACUUCGUGCCAGCAGCCGCGGUAAUACGAAGGGUGCAAGCGUUAAUCGGAAUUACUGGGCGUAAAGCGUGCGUAGGUGGUUGUUCAAGUCUGUCGUGAAAGCCCUGGGCUCAACCUGGGAAUGGCGGUGGAUACUGGAUAGCUAGAGUGUGUCAGAGGAUGGUGGAAUUCCCGGUGUAGCGGUGAAAUGCGUAGAGAUCGGGAGGAACAUCAGUGGCGAAGGCGGCCAUCUGGGACAACACUGACGCUGAAGCACGAAAGCGUGGGGAGCAAACAGG